CCAUGCCUUUGUUUGCCCUUUGGCACUCCACCAGAAACUCACCAACAGAUGGGUUCCCCAGUUUGAGAAGAAAAGCUCCACAGCUCUAGAAACAAGGCUAAUCAAAUGGCCAUUCCUUGCUGAGAAAAUGGACUCGGAGAAAUUAAGACACAGAACUAAGUAGAGAGGACCGGGGAGGCUCCAAGAAGAGGCAUCCCGCUCCCUCUGCAGCCGCAGAAACGCCUCCAGGACGCCUUCUCUGGCGCUGAGCCUCGAGGGUUGUUAAACUAUGACCGUUUCGCGUGGUGGGGCAACAAGCAGAAGUGUCUGAAUGUAACCUGAAGAGCUCUCUCUGGAUGGCCUGGACUACAAGUUAGCUGGAACCAGCAGAAGGAGCUGCAGCCAAGCUUAGCUUCCCACGGCACCAGUAAUUUCCUCCCUCUAGAGAGAAGAUAGAGAACGUCCUAUAGGCCCCAAGGUCUCUAUGUGCUGGGCAGCUAAUGUUCCCAGCCAAUUCCUACCUAUAGUUGGCAGCCCAAAUACAGACUUCCUGCAGCCAAGCAACCCGUGUAUUCC
rnacentral:lncRNA from 1 species